rnacentral:lncRNA from 1 species
GCUCCUCUGCUACGACGACGCCGGCCUGCUGCACUUCCUCGUCUCCAACCUCAAGAUUGACCGCCGCUACUCAGCUCCAACUCCUGCUGCUACGACCUCCCUGACCGACGAUCUCUGCCACUCCUUCUCUCCUCCUCCUCGCUGCUGAGAGGGAGAGGAUCGACCAGAGGCCAGGGGCGUCGGGCCUUCUGGUGCUCCACGCAAGAUCGUCUCCAACGUGCCUCUGCUGCUAUUCUUCUUUGCCUGCAACAAGUACAGCUUCGAAUCGAAGAUCAUCAAGACCCAUAGGCUCUGAACCUCUCUCUUCUCUUGUUCCUGUUCUCUGAAUAUAUGCACUAUUGGAUCUGAAAAUUACUCUGUUACCUAUGUACCUUUGCUGAAACCUCAUGUAUCCUUGCUGAAUUGUUGUUACACUUGCUGGAUAUUAAGUUAGUAGUUAUUCUCCUGUGAGCUGCUGUCACUUUAAUUGGUUGCAUGAGUUGUGUGUGAUGUCUGAACCAUCUUUCAUGUGCUAGUUUUACUUGUCUGUUUGAUUACAAGAAAACCACUAAAAAGAGACAGUCCUAUUUCUGAACCCUUUACCUUUGGUGCAUAUUAUUUUGUUUUACCUUGCUCUAGUAGCUGCUUGUUGUCACUACGGUUUGAUUCAUCUGUUCCAUUGUUCUGAAUGUUUCGAAUGUGUGCUUUGAAGUUCUAGAUCCCUGUGGAGAACACGACAUCCGUAGCUUGGGCGCAAAAACCCUACUAUAUUACACUUGACCAUUUUGGCGCCGUUGCCGGGGAUCUAAAUUUCAUUAGCACAUUAGUAGAAGCAGAUCAUGAUUUAUUUUAGGUCGAUUACGUAGUAUUGCUGGCAACUAACCAUUUCCUAACAUUCGCUGCAGUUUAGAGAACACUAGCAUGUGUCAAUUUCAGGAACUUUACAGGAAAUUGUCUUAUGCUUCAACCUGACUAUUCACUAGAGCCAUUUGAUCCAGAAAUUGAAAGGACUUUAUUGAGAAGAAGAAGAGAGAAUCAAACACGGUUUCAAGUUGCUGAAACUUUGCAAGAUCAAGAAGAAGAAAAGAUGCCUAAUCCAGUACCUUUGCUCAGGGACUUGUGGAUCCCAAGAGAUCAUGGGAUACCAGGAGAAAUGGUGCAACCAAUUAUUCAGGCGAACAAUUUUGAAUUGAAGCCUGCUCUGAUUAACAUGGUACAACAGUCCAGAUUUGGUGGAACAGCUUUAGAAGACCCACAUGAGCAUAUAAGGACUUUCUUGGAGUAUUGUAACACUCUCAAGCAAAAUGGAGUUUCACCGAGUGCUAUCAGAUUAUCACUAUUCCCAUUUUCCUUGAGAGAUGGAGCAAGAGUAUGGCUUCACUCAUUGCCUGAACAUCUGAAGGAUACUUGGGAGACUUUAUUGCAGACAUUUAUUGAGAGAUACUUUCCACCAACAAAAGCUGCUGAAUACAGGGAGAAGUUAACAAGGUUUACUCAAUAUGAUGGAGAAAGUUUGUAUGACGCAUGGCAAAGAUUCAACUCUUUAAUCAGAAUGUGUCCUCAUCAUGGUUUAGAAAGAUGGCUGGUGUUACAAACCUUUUACAAAGGACUGUCCACUCAGACCAGAGCUUUUGUCGAUUUUGCUGCUGCAGGAGGAAUCAUGAACAAAACCCUUGAUGAAGCAUUCACAUUGAUUGAAAGUAUGGCGUCUCAUCAUUUCCAAUGGUCAAGUGAAAGAGUAAUAGCACCACCACAUCCUGGUGUGUACAAUGUGUCUGCAAAUGAUAGCAUGGCGGCUCAGAUUGACAUCUUGAACAAGAAGAUGGACAGUAUCAUGUCAAGUUGCAUCGGUACAUCUGUAGCUUCAGUAAGUGUGCCUCAAAUGUGUGAUGUAUGUGGCCAAGCAGGUCAUCCUUCAACAGAAUGCACCUUCUAUUCAGCAAUUGGAUCAUCAGUUUCAGAAGUAAGUUAUGCCCAAAGUCAAGGUCCAUUCUCAAACAGCUACAAUCCUUCUUGGAGGAACCAUCCAAACUUGUCGUACAAGAACAAUCAGUCUUAUGCAAGUGGAUCGACAGUACAAGGAAAUCGACCACCAAAUCAUCGAAGUCAAUUUCAAGUGCCGAGGCAGAAUGAACAACAAAAUGUUCAGUCAAAUGGAAUGGAGGAAAUCAUGAAGAUGCAGUUGGAAUUGAUGAAAAAGGUGACAAAUGAAGUUAAUGGCUUAAAGGAUUCUGUUAGGAUGCUUGUGAGCAAAAUGGAUAGUAUGGUGGGAGAAAAUGAAGCAAGGCUGCCUGCUCAACCAAUUCCAAACCUGAAAGCUCACUGUGGGGCAAUAUCUUCAGUUGAUGCAGUGACUACAAGGAGUGGAGCUAUGAUAGGACCAUUACUUCCUAUUCCGAAGACAUAUGUGCCUCCUGCUAUGAGGCCAAGUUCAUCCGGAACUCCGCCUUCAACAUCAUCAGAGAAAAUAAAGGAGAAAGAAGUUGAUAACCGAAUUGAAACUGAAGUCGAAUUUCCUGGUUUUCAAACAAGAGCUGAGCCUUUGCUAGAGGAAGCAAUAACAACCAACAACAUUCCCUUUCCUGAGAGGUUCAACAAACCCAAAGAUGACAAGCAAUUUGCCAAUUUUUUGGAAACUAUGAAAGGAGUUCAGAUUACUAUUCCUAUUCUUGAAGCUGUCUUGCAUGUUCCGAUGUAUGCCAAAUAUUUCAAGGAAUUAUUAACAAAGAAAAGAAGCAUGUCUGAGCCAGAAGUUGUAAUUCUAUCAAAGGAAUGCAGUGCAAUAAUUCAGAAUUCCAUGCCUGAAAAAUUGGAUGAUCCAGGAAGUUUUUGUGUACCAUGUGUGAUUGGAAACAAAACUUACAGUGCUCUAUGUGACUUGGGCUCAAGUGUUAGUGUGUUACCACAUUCAGUCAGCAAAAGGAUGUUCUUGGGAGAAUUAAAUCCAACAUCCAUAACUCUUCAGUUAGCCGACAGAACAUACAGGAGACCUGUUGGAAUUCUUGAGGAUGUUCCAAUCAAAGUUGGGAAGUUUGCUUAUCCGGUUGACUUUGUAGUGCUAGAUAUGGAGGACAAGAGUGAGGCCGUGAUUCUUGGAAGACCAUUUUUGGGCACAACUGGUGCACUUAUUGAUGUCCAAGAAGCUAAAUUGAGCUUGAGGUUCGGAAAUGAAAAGGUGGAGCUUGACAUGAAGCAUGCAACACAUGUUCCGCAAAGAGAAGAACACUGCUACAGAAUUGAUACAUUACAGAAAUGUGUGGAAGAAGGUUAUGAAGAGAGGUAUGGAAGUAAUUGUUGUGAAGUAGUUGAGGAGGACAAUAGUGAAAUUAGAUACGAGGAAAUCAGACCUGUGAGCAUGUUGGAAAGUAGUGCAAGGUCAUUAGAGAAGAUGCAACCAAGGCAAAUAGAAAUGAAACAACUUAUAGAAAGUUUGAAGUAUGCAUUCUUAGACAAUGAAAACCAGUGGCCAAUUAUCGUAAACAGUGAGUUGGCGGAAAUGCAAAUAAAAGGGCUUCAAGCAGUUUUGCAAAAGUACAAGGAUGUUAUUGGAUAUUCGAUUGAUGAUAUGAAAGGGAUCAAUCCUGCUGUCUACUCUCACAAGAUUUACUUGAAAGAAAGUAGUGUGCCCAUUAGAGAAAGUCAAAGAAGGUUAAAUCCCCAUUUGCAAGAGGUUGUCAAAAAGGAGAUUCUUAAAUUGCUCUCUGUUGAUAUCAUAUACCCAAUUUCGGAUAGUGAGUGGGUGAGCCCCAUUCACAUGGUGCCCAAAAAAGGAGGAAUAACUGUCAUUGAAAACGAACAAGGGCAAACGAUUCCUAGUAGGACUGUCACAGGGUGGAGAAUGGUCAAUGAUUUCAGAAAGUUAAAUGAAGUAACAAGGAAGGACCAUUUUCCUUUACCUUUUAUUGACCAAAUGCUAGAAAGGCUUGCUGGGCAUGAAUAUUUCUGCUGGUUAGAUGGGUAUUCAGGAUUCUUGCAAAUCCCAAUUCACCCGGAUGAUCAAGAUAAAACAACUUUCACUUGCCCAUAUGAAACAUUUGCUUACAAAAGACUAGCUGAUGGACUUUGUAAUGCACCCCCAACAUUUCAAAGGUUUAUACUCUCUAUAUUCUCUGAUAUGAUUGGAAUCAAAGUGGAGGUGUUCAUAGAUGAUAUUACAGUCAUUGGAAAAAGUUAUGAAGAUUGCUUGAAUAAUCUGGCAGCAGUUCUUCAGAGGUGUUCAGAACACAAUCUAGUCCUAAACUGGGAGAAGUGUCAGUUUGUUGUAAGGGAAGGAAUUAUUUUGGGACAUUUGGUAUCUAAAAGAGGAAUUGAGGUUGAUCAAGCAAAAGUUGAAGUAAUAUCAAAACUUCCACCACCUGUAAAUGUGAAGGUAGUGAGGAGCUUUUUGGGAUAUGCUGGGUUCUAUAGAAGAUUCAUAAAGGAUUUCUCUAAGAUAGCCAAACCCCUCACUAAUCUCCUAAACAAUGAUGUUAAGUUCAACUUUGAUGCAGAAUGUGAAAAAUCCUUCAACUUGAUCAAGGAAGCAUUGGUCACUGCUCCAGUAGUGCAACCCCUUGACUGGGAAUUACCAUUUGAGAUAAUGUGUGAUGCAAGCGACUUUGCUGUAGGUGCAGUACUUGGACAAACAAAAGGAAAAGAUUUGCAUGUAAUAUACUAUGCUAGCAAAACACUUGAUGAUGCUCAAGCUAAUUACACAACCACCGAAAAGGAGUUGUUGGCAGUAGUGUAUGCCUUUGACAAAUUCAGGCAAUAUAUUGUGGGAUCUCAUUGUGUAGUUUACACAGACCACGCUGCAAUAAGAUAUUUACUCAGCAAGAAAGAAGCCAAGCCAAGGUUAAUUAGAUGGAUACUCUUGCUUCAAGAAUUUGAUGUGGAAAUCAAGGACAAGAAAGGAGCUGAAAAUGUUGUGGAAGAUCACUUGUCAAGAUUGCAAAACAAUGCAGUAGACUCCUUACCUAUCAAUGAUGUUUCACCAGGGAGCAAUCUUAUGCAAGUGACUAGUAUACAAAACUAUACACCAUGGUACGCAGAUAUAGUUAAUUAUCUGGUCUGGAACAAAGUUCCUACAGAUUUUGGGUAUCAAAAGAAGAAGAAAUUCCUAUCAGAUAUGAAGCACUUCUUUUGGGAUGAACCUUACUUAUUCAAGCAUUGUGCUGAUGGUAUUUUUCGAAGAUGCUUGCCGGAAAGUGAAACUAAAAGUGUGAUCUAUCAUUGCCAUUCAUCCCCUUAUGGAGGUCAUGCAAGUACUCGAAAGACUCAAGCAAAAAAUUUGCAAGCAGGAUUUUAUUGGCCAACUUUAUUCAAGGAUGUACAUUCCUAUAUUGAAGCUUGUGAUCCUUGUCAGAGAACUGGAAAUAUUUAAAAAAGGCAAGAGAUGCCUCAAAAUGGAAUUCCUGAAGUAGAGAUCUUUGAUGUAUGGGGAAUUGAUUAUGUUGGACCCUUGCCAUCAUCAAAAGGGUACAAAUACAUAUUGGUGGCAGUGGACUAUGUGUCAAAAUGGGUUGAGGGUGUACCAACUAUCAAUGCUAAUUCCAAGUCAGUUUGCAAUUUAUUCAAGCAAGUGAUCUUUCCAAGAUUUGGUGUGCCACGGAUUGUUAUCAGUGAUGGAGGAAUGCAUUUCAACAACUCCCAACUAGAAUCUCUCUUAGCAAAAUAUGGAGUUCAUAAUCAUAGAAUUACAACUCCAUAUCACCCACAAGCAAAUGGAAGGGUGGAGCUGUCUAAUAGAGAAAUAAAGGCUAUCCUAGAUAAGGUAGUAUCAAAGUCAAGGUUUGACUGGGUACUGAAAUUACCAGACACACUGUGGGCAUAUAGGACAGCUUAUAAAACACCAAUUGGAAUGUCACCAUUCAGGUUAAUAUAUGGAAAAGCAUGCCAUCUACCCGUUGAACUUGUACACAAAGCUCAAUGGGCACUAAGGAAACUCAAUAUGGACCUUGAUACAGCAGGAAAACAUAGAAAACUACAACUCUGUGAAAUGGAAGACCUGAGAGCUGACUCUUACGAGAGUGCAAGAAUCUACAAAGAAAAGACCAAGAUCUGGCAUGAUAAGCAUAUAUUGAGGAAAGAAUUUCAUCUUGGACAGUUGGUAUUGGUCUACGAUACUAGGUUUCAUUUAUUUCCCGAUGAAUUCAAGUCAAGAUGGUAUGGCCCUUGCAAGGUGAAGAAGAUUCUGAAAAGUGGUGCUAUCCAAGUGCAAAGUACUUCUGGAGGUCUCUUCCUCGUAAACGGUCAAAGACUGAAGCCCUACAUCCCUGGAGACACACCUCUGAUUUCUGAAGAUGAGAAUGCAAGCGAAGAUCAAGACCUGGAGAAGGAAAUUCAAGAAGGUGAGGGGAGCCAAGAGGUGGUGUCAAUCCCUGCAGGACCCUGACCCCACUGAAGAGACAUGGUCGAGCUAAAGACCUAAAACAAGCGCUUUUCAGGAGGCAACCUGAAUUUUUAAUAAGUUCUUUUCCUUAUUUAGUUUUCAUAGAAAAGUUUUUAUGUGUUCAUGUCUUUCUUUUUCAGCGAAUAAAGGCAAGGGGAGCACAAACAGGGAACACAAACAGAGAAGAGUGGAGAGAAGAAACUAGGGGAGAAGAUUAUACAAAUACCAGGUGAUUCUGUUCCACUUGAAGCAACCUUUAGAAAAUUUAGUAUGAGGACUGGUAUUUAAUUGCAUUGAAAAUCUUUCUUUUUCUGCAUUGUGACACGUUACUCAUCACUGCAAAGUAGGAUUCACCCCAAGAAGAUUGUUGAUUCUCUUAAUACUAAAACUAUGCAGAUGUACUCUUCUUAUGGUAAAUUGCGAUCAGCAAUGAUUUAUAACACACUGUAAAUGUUCCAAGUCAAUGGCCUUGAGUGAAAGUGAAUCCUAUUAAUCAAGAGCUGGCUGUGUCUUCAGCCCUAAGAUAAGCUGGGACCCCAAAAUUAAUUAGAAAAACAAGUUACUUAUUGAAUUUAAAGCACAAGUGAUGAUAUUAUAUCAGUCUCACCAAAGGAACAUACCACCGAUCCCGAGAACAUGGUAUACACCUGGCUCGACCAAUUAUUAGAAUUUUUUUAUUAUUGUCUCCCCAAAGGAACAUACCACCGAUCCAGAGAACAUGGUAUACACCUGGUUCAACAACUAUAGCAUUUUUUACUUAUUGAAUUUAAAGCACAAUUAUUGCUUAUCGCAAUUUAGCUUCAGUAGAGUACAGUUGCCUAGUUCCAAUAUUGUCGGAAUUACUAUCUAUCCAAAAGUGCAUCUUUACUAGGCAGUGUGGGUAGUCUCACCAUCAUUUUCCUUUACUUGAGGACAAGCAAAGAUCUAGGUGUGGGGGAAAUUGAUAGCACAUUCAUUCAUAUUGUAUUUCAAGCCUUUUUGCAUAACAAAUCAAACCUAUGACCACAGUUUUUACUUAUAAAGUAUUCAUUCUUAUAGAAAUAUUCCUAUUAUGAUAUUUUUACAACACUUAUUCAUAUCUUGUAGGACUGGUGCGUUUAGGCACCCAAACUUCAUCGAAAGUGUUUACAACCUUCAAGCUGGGGAUCAUCUUGUGCGAAAGAUAGAACUAGAAGGGGCGAGCUGAAAAGAACCAGGGACUUGCGCACCUAGUAAGACAGAGAAGAGCAGAUGUCUGCUUGUGCGCGUGAGAAGGGGCUGGUCUGGCGCGACCAGCGAGAUGCAUGUCUGAUCCCACGCGCGAGGCCACGAGAGAGCAGAGGAGUAGAGGGGGUCGAAGGAAAGAAAACCACCAGGGCCGACUACCUUUUUCGCUCCUCCUCCUCGCUGCCUUCCACCACUCACCUACCACCAGAUCGAACGAGGGGGAUCGAGGGGAACUAGUAGAAGAACCAGAUCGAAGGAGUGAGAGGGAGAAGAGGGUGUCGGGAGACUGGCGGUGGUGCCCGAUCCACCAUGAAGCUACCCCGAUCUGUCCGGCGAUCCACCGCUCCUCUGCUACGACGACGCCGACCUGCUGCACUUCCUCGUCUCCAACCUCAAGAUCGACCGCCGCUACUCAGCUCCAACUCCUGCUGCUACGACCUCCCUGACCGACGAUCUCUGCGACUCCUUAUCUCCUCCUCCUCAUUGCUGAGGGGGAGAGGAUCGACCAGAGGCCAGGGGCGCUAGGCCUUCUGGUGCUCCACGCAAGAUCGUCUCCAACGUGCCUCUGCUGCUACUCUUCUUUGCCUGCAACAGCUACAGCUUCGAAUCGAAGAUCAUCAAGACCCAUAGGCUCUGAACCUCUCCUCUUGUUCCCGUUCUUUGAAUAUAUGCACUGUUGGAUCUGAAAAUUACUCUGUUACCUGUGUACGUUUGCUGAAACCUCAUGUAUCCUUGCUAAAUUGUUGUUACACUUGCUGGAUAUUAAGUUAGUAGUUAUUCUCCUGUGAGCUGCUGUCACUUUAAUUGGUUGCAUGAGUUGUGUGUGAUGUCUGAACCAUCUUUCAUGUGCUAGUUUUACUUGUUUGUUUGAUUACAAGAAAACCACUAAAAAAGAGACAGUCCUA